rnacentral:tmRNA from 1 species
GGGGAUGUAUUGUUUCGACAGGAUAGCACUUUAAAAACUGCAAGCCGAAUACGAUUCUAAAGUGCGCAAACUUUGAAUCAAAACUUACGUGCAAACAGAGAUGUUGCACCUGCUUACGCUUACGCCUAAUAACGUAAUCUAAGCUGUCUUUUUAGCUUUUUCUCGGUGAGGCUUUAAAGGCACAAACUUAGCCGAGAGUAGAUAUUUGACUUCUGAUCAGGUCAAGGAUCGAAACUUUCCGAUCUUUGUUUGGAUUUCGUUUGUCAAUCGACUAAAGAUCCAAACGAGAUAUUAAAGAUUGACUAAGCUUGUAGAAGUUUUUGAAAAGUUGUUCUGGACGAGGGUCCGAAACCCUCCAUCUCCACUG